GUUCGUUCUUAUGUUGUACUGUUAUACCACUGUCCCAGGUUAGGGGAGGGUUGGGAUCUCGCUAACAUGUUUAACCCCGCCACAUUAUUUGUGUAUGUGCUUGUCCCAAGUCAGGAGCCUGUAAUUCAGUGGUUGUCGUUUGUUUAUGUGUUACAUAUUUGUUUUUCGUUCGUUUUUUUACAUAAAUGAGGCCGUUAGUUUUCUCGUUUGAAUUGUUUUACAUUGUCUUAUCGGGGCCUUGUAUAGCUCACUAUGAGGUAUGGGCUUUGCUCAUUGUUGAAGGCCGUACGGUGACCUAUAGUUGUUAAUGUCUGUGUCAUUUUGGUCUUUUGUGGAUAGUUGUCUCAUUGGCAAUC
rnacentral:lncRNA from 1 species